AUCAGCACCCUGUCAAAACGGACCAAUCAACUCUCUGUAAAACAGACCAAUCAGCUCUCUGUAAAAUGGACCAAUCAGCAGGAUGUGGGUGGGUCCAGAUAAGGGAAUAAAAGCAGGCUGCCGGAGCCGGGAGUGGCAAUCCCCUAAUGUUCCCUUCCACCUUGUGGAAGUUUUGUUCUUUCGCUCUUUGCAAUAAAUCCCAUUGUUGCUCGCUCUUUGGGGUCUCACUGUCUGUGCGAGCUGUAAUACUCGCCGCAAAGGUGUCUGGCUUCACUUCCGAGACCAGCGAGACCCCGAACCCACCGGGAGGAAUGAACAACUCCGGAUGGGAGGGACAAACAACACCAGACGCACCGCCUUAAGAGUCCUAACGCUCACCGCGGAGGUCUGCGGCUUCACUCUUGAAUGAAGCCAGCGAGAUCACAAACCCACCAGAAGGAAGGAACUCUGAACACAUCCGAAAAUCAGAAGGAACAAACUCCGGACACACUACCUUUAAGAACUGUAACACUCAAAUCGCGAGGGUCCACGGCUUCGUUCUUGAAGUCAGUGAGACCAAGAACCCACAAAUUCCGGACACUUCCCCACACAGAGGGAACUGGCCUAACACUCUGAAUCUACAUCAAGGAACUCAAGCGCUCUUGUUGUCUUCCUGGGCAGGUGGUGCCAAUAGGAUGUACUGACAGAUCAGAAGUGGUCGUGAGAGAAGGAGCAAGUAGCCAGAAGAGUGAAGUGUGCACUGGCUGAGAUGUGGGAGCAGGUGUUGUUGGUUUCCCCGGAGAUGCAGCAAGAAGGCCCUCGCCAGAUAUCAAGGCCUUAAGCUUGGACUUCCCAGCCUCCAGAACUGUCUUAUGUAUCAACAAAAUCACACCAGACCACCCAAAGCUGGCCCUGCCAACUGACCACACACACCCCUGCCUGAAAGGCAUGUUUCAAUGUGCAACAGACGCCUGCCACUCAGGGGACAUCAAAUGUUCAUGAGAACUCGCUAACCUCGAAACAGGUGACUGUCAAGACUGGCUGAGGAUUGAAACUCUGGGGAAAUUUGCUAGAAUAUGUGUGGAUUGCUGGGCCAGCUUCCCGAUGGGCUGAUCUUUAGGUGCCGGGCUGGGGAUGCGCAUUCUCAGCACUGCUGCUGGGUGGUUCUGUGAAGUAGACCCUUGGUAACCACUGCAUUAGACCACCUAGGUCUCUGCCACUUCCACACUGUGGACACUUCGAUGGAUCAUUCUUUGUGGUGGGCACUGUCCAGUGCAUUGCUGGAUAUUCAGCAGCAUUCCUGAACUCUUCUUGCCAGAUACCAGUAGCACCCUUCCUGUCCCCUCCCAUGUCACCAUAUGACAACCCAAAAGAUCUCCAGACGUUGCCACAUGUUCCCAGGCAGCAAACUCCCUUCCAUGGUAACUACUGUCCUAGGCUGUUUACAAGGUUAUUAGUGAUGGUGACAGCCAUAAUGAGGAACCAGGCUCUGUGCCGAGCACUCACUGCAUCUCAUUCUGUGUAAUCCUCAUGGUCAUAUUCUUAGGCAAUCUUUUCAUCAUUGUUUAUAAAACUCAGAGAAUUUAAACAGCUUUCCCAAGGUCAUGGGUAAUCAGUGGCCACAGCUUGAUGCCUACCUCUGUUUGACUCCAAAGUGGACUCAGGGGUCAGAUAGAUCCAGAGGGUGACAGAAACCUCAUCCUGGAGACUGGGGGUUCUUCCAAGGCUUGUUCUUGUCACUUUUUUUUUUUUUUUUUUUGAGAUGGAGUCUUGCUCUGUUGCCCAGGCUGGAGUGCAGUGGCGCGAUCUCAGCUCACUGCAAGCUCCGCCUCCCAGGUUCACGCCUCCCAGGUUCACGCCUCCCGAGUAGCUGGGACUACAGGUGCCUGCCACCAUACCUGGCUAAUUUUUUGUAUUUUCAGUAGGGACGGGUUUUCGCCAUGUUGGCCAGGAUAGUCUCGAUCUCCUGAACUCGUGAUCCGCCCUCCUCCGCCUCCCAAAGUGCUGGGAUUACAGGCGUGAGCCACCGCACCGGGCCUCUUGUCACUAUUUAACAAAGCAUAAUGGCUCCUCUCUGCCUACUCUACCAGAUCCAUGCUCUUUAGCCUGCCAGGCCAGGCUGUCCCUACCUCACAUCCCCUGAUCAGCUACAUUAUAAUCUAAGGCCUAUCUCCUCUUUAACCCUGAACGUACCUUGCUCAUUUUCACUGUAGGGCUGUUUCUUUCAUUCAGGGGUCUCAAACUCAAAUGUCUAUAGGGGCCUAGAGGGUAAAUUAACAAACAAAGUGGGCUCAGUGCAAGAUGAUAAAUGGCAAUGGAUCUUUCAGCCUCAUUUGGAGAGACCUUGGGAAUGGUGAGGACUGUGACCUCAGUGGAGCACCUACUUUACUGAGACAGGGCAGCUGCUUCUCCAUCUUGCCCUGUGCUAGUCUUGCUGGAUAUUUUAUUUUUCAAGAAAUAAAAUAUGGAAUGUGGAAUAAUAUGUGUGACUUAUCAAUUUUUAAAUUUUGGUAGGUUCUACAAAUUCAAAAAAACCACCCGUGGCCUGGCUCUGGGCUGAAGCUGAGUCCUGGCUUGAAAUCCCCUGCCUUAAUCUCUCUUCGAAGACUUUUCUGCAUUCAUCUGAGUCCUCAUCCUCCAAGGCAGGGCUCAGGCUUGGGCUCAGGCUCCCAGCCAUGUAUCCCUCCUGGACCAUUCCUGACUCCUUUCCAGUAUCCUUAUCACUUGUACCACAUACGUUGGCCUUUGAUCCUGUGUACUGUUGGAUUUGUCUUUACUUCACAGGUUCAUCUUGUCUCCCCAAGAACAAUGAGAGUUGCCUCAAGGGGUAGAACCAUGCUUUUUGUUUUCUUUUGAAUUCAUUACAGCACAGCCAAAAGCUCAACACACAAAACACACUCAGUAAAUAUCUGUUGAACAGAAUAAAAGCCAUUCCGCAUAACCAACCCUGAUCUCUUUUGCUGGACUGUAAACCAACCUACCUAUUGUUAGUCCUUCACAGAUUAUAUGGUGGAUCUGAACACAUCAGGUAGAACCUUUGAUAAACUUAAAGUCCUUCAUUGAAUCACUCUGUAGCCACUGUUUUCUCUAGGACAAAAGCUUUAAAUAUUUUGAGAAAAUUGUACAAGACCAUCCAUCCUGAUUCUCAUGGCUUUGGUUGUUCAGAAAGGAAAUCUUUGUACACACACCAUUUCACUGCCUCCUUUUCAGUUUCCCAAUUUGGAAAAAGGAAAAAUGUGAACUAUCCCCCUCUUCGCGUUCUUUUCUAACUGAAGUGAUAGAUUUCAGAGUCGUAUAAAGCUAAGAUUAUCGUUUAUCAUAUCUCAG
rnacentral:lncRNA from 1 species